GCAGUGUGUUGGAAGCAUUACUGUCACCUCGUGUAUCUUCCCUUCAGUUAAAUCAGAAGGACAUAUCUGGCCAUUAAAACGUAACAUCUAAAAAAAUGGUGCAAACUGCUUGUGAAGUUCCAUGUGAAACAACUUCAGUUAAAGGUAUUUCUGAGCUUUUUUUCUUCUAUUGUACACCCUAAGCCCUUACCCUCAAUCAGAACAUGAUUGUAAAUUAAAUGUAUUCAUAGACGCUGCGAGACAAGACAAUGCAAGACGACAAUGAAGUCAGAAUAAUCUUGUGGUAAUUGCACUGCUCAUAGCAGAAACUCAAAUUUUCUUUUUUUUCUUUUCUACCCUUUUGUUAGUUGCCUCAUCAGCAAAAAUCUGGGUCACACAGAGUGGGUGUUCGUGGGGUUUUUAAAAACAUUCCAGAGUUAACAGAGCCAUAGAAACUUGAAGCAUUCUUCUUGUAGCAAUAUUGCUAAUCAUAAAAUGAUGUGUGAUUAAGUGCAAAUUAAGUAGUAAAGCAAAAUAACUGAGUGAAUAAAAAGAUCGUUAAACUGAACAUAAGGUGAUAUUAGGAGCAUAAAACUGCUGAGAAACAAGUUUCUAUCAGAGUAACAAAUAGGUUCUCUAAUCUGAGAUCUGUAUCUCUCAGCUUGUACUUAAAAAGCGCUUUCUCUCUUUUAAGGGAAGCGGGUCUUUAAGUACUCAGAAUGCAGGAGCAAGUUUCCCUUCUUGUCAGUCUGCAUGAGGCAAACACGAUUGGGAAAGAGAUUACAAAGAAAUAAAAGGAUAUUUGAAGUGUCAGUGAUGACAAAGUAUGAUCCAAUUCUGCUGCUGGUCUUUUUAAGUAGAGUGGUAAAACUGCAUUUUUAUGUAAAGUGACUUUCCCCUUUUGGUUCAUCUCCCUUUUUAAAGUGCAUAUGGAGAAUAACUUGUUCCACUGCUGUUGCCUCCUUUCACGGCAAACGUGUGGCAGAACUGCCUUUUCAAAAGUGGAUCAAAGAAUGCUACCAAUACAUUCUUCUCAUCUCCCAUUUAUCCUUCCAUGUCUGUCAUACAAACCAUUUAUUUUUAGGCUCCAAGGAAAGCAGAGAAAUUAAAUUUUCUGCCAACUUCAUUUCAAUGCCAUCUUCCUUUGUUUCUGAUUAAUUGGUGCACAGUGUGAUGUUCUUAAAUAAGCUGUUAUCUAACACAGUGGAAGUGAUGGAGAGGCAAGGGGAUCCCUGACAGUGACAUUACAGCUGCUACCUUAUAGGAGUGCUGUGGCUUUUCAUAUGUGAUUUGUGGUCUUCAGC
rnacentral:lncRNA from 1 species